rnacentral:rRNA from 1 species
GACGAACGCUGGCGGCGUGCCUAAUACAUGCAAGUAGAACGCUGAAGCGAGGAGCUUACUCUUCUUGGAUGAGUUGCGAACGGGUGAGUAACGCGUAGGUAACCUGCCUUGUAUCGGGGGAUAACUAUUGGAAACGAUAGCUAAUACCGCAUAACAAUGGAUGACACAUGUCAUUUAUUUGAAAGGGGCAAUUGCUCCACUACAAGAUGGACCUGCGUUGUAUUAGGUAGUAGGUGAGGUAAUGGCUCACCUAGGCGACGAUACAUAGCCGACCUGAGAGGGAGAUCGGCCAAACUGGGAAUGAGAAAAGGCCCAGACUCCUAAGGGAGGCAGCAGUAGGGAAUCUUCGGAAAUGGGGGCAACCCUGACCGAGGAACGCCGCGUGAGUGAAGAAGGGUCUCGGAUCGUAAAGCUCUGUUGUAAGUGAAGAAAGGGUGUGAGAGUGGAAAGCUCACAUUGUGACGGUAGCUUACCAGAAAGGGACGGCUAACUACGUG